rnacentral:rRNA from 1 species
UACGUAGGGUGCGAGCGUUGCCCGGAUUUAUUGGGCGUAAAGGGCGCGUAGGCGGCCACGCACGUCCGUUGUGAAAUCGCUCGGCUCAACUGAGGAACUGCCUUUGAAACUGCAAGGCUUGAGGCCGGGAGGGGGUAGCGGAAUUCCCAAUGUAGCGGUGAAAUGCGUAGAUAUUGGGAGGAACACCAGUGGCGAAGGCGGCUACCUGGACCGGUUCUGACGCUGAGGCGCGAAAGCGUGGGUAGCAAACAGG